rnacentral:rRNA from 1 species
GAUGAACGCUGGCGGCGUGCCUAAUACAUGCAAGUCGAGCGAACGGACGAGAAGCUUGCUUUUCUGAUGUUAGCGGCGGACGGGUGAGUAACACGUGGAUAACCUACCUAUAAGACUGGGAUAACUUCGGGAAACCGGAGCUAAUACCGGAUAAUAUUUUGAACCGCAUGGUUCAAAAGUGAAAGACGGUCUUGCUGUCACUUAUAGAUGGAUCCGCGCUGCAUUAGCUAGUUGGUAAGGUAACGGCUUACCAAGGCAACGAUGCAUAGCCGACCUGAGAGGGUGAUCGGCCACACUGGAACGGAGACACGGUCCAGACUCCUACGGGAGGCAGCAGUAGGGAAUCUUCCGCAAUGGGCGAAAGCCUGACGGAGCAACGCCGCGUGAGGGAUGAAGGUCUUCGGAUCGUAAAACUCUGUUAUUAGGGAAGAACAUAUGUGUAAGUAACUGUGCACAUCUUGACGGUACCUAAUCAGAAAGCCACGGCUAACUACGUG